GAUGUUGGAGUUAGAUGAAAAAUCAAUUGAAGUAACAGUGAAAGCUACUUAUCCACCACAACAAACCAAUAUUACCAUCAGUCCAAUGUCAGU